rnacentral:lncRNA from 1 species
GGAGAUGUUUAUGUUCAAGCUUGUUAAGUGUUGUUUGAUGUGUUUGUUUGAGGUUUUAGGCUAGUUUUGGACCUCUUUAUGCAUGUUUUAUGGUAUGUGCUAGUUGGGAGUAGUUGAUAUGCCUGUUGGGUAAGGUUUGGGUGAGUUGUGCAUAAAACAGAGCAGGGUUCUGUCCUCUGGACAAAACCAGGUUCGGCCGCCGAAGGAAGGUUCGGCCGCCGAACCCCUUGUGGAGGCAGUUUCAGCUGCUAAAGCUUGCCCCCGAAACUUGGGACUUUCGUCUCUGGAGGCAAGGUUUAGCCGCCAAAAGUGCCGCCGAAGGUUGAGUUUCGUCUCUGGACGAGACUUUCGGCUGCCGAAGGUGCCGCCGAACUUGCAUGAGUUUCGUCUCUGGAGGGGAGUUUCGGCCGCCGAACCUGCCGCCGAAAGUGCCCUGUCCAGCCUUCUUUUGCAUGUUUUAUGUGAUUGUUUUAGGAUCUUUUAGAGGGCUUUUGGGGAGUUUCUUAGAGAUGGUCUUGAGUUAGCUUGGUCCCUCAUUUGAGUCGCCCUGUGUAGGUACGGACCAGAGGAAUCAGGGAGGUCAGCAGUGAGUCCAGUUUCAGAACCUGCAGAGUCAGUUCAGAGUCAGCCAGAGGUGAGUGAAACUGAACUUAAUGUUUUAAUAUGAGAACUGAAUAUUUUAUCAUGCUUCAUGCAUCAUGAAUAUGCUAUAGGGUGAAUGCAUCAGUGUACACGAAUAUGACGCAUUGCAUCUAUCCUUGUACUUGGCAUGGAUCCUUGUACAUUGUUUCUAUGAAGUAUGGACAUCGUGAGGAUUCAAUAGCCCUUGUAGGAAAGACCUGGAACAGCCCUACGGGGACCAGGCACAUAGUACUUGAAGACCUGGAACAGCCCUACGGGGACCAGGCACAUGGUACUUCGGUACCCCAGAUGAAGUGCAGUCCUAAGAGCUCCUUUGUGGGCUAGACACAGAUACAGAUAGAGGGAGUUUUGAUCCGUCCUGCUAAGAUGAUGUGAUUUACUUGUGAUGUGAUACAUUCCAUGAGAGCAUGUUUUAUCACCUGUUGUUUUAUUCCUGUUCUACUCACUGGGCUAUAGUAGCUCAUCCCUCUCCCCUAACGACAGUUAUGCAGGUUCAGAGUUCAGAGGGAAGUCAGCAGGGUACAGGAAGAGUUCAUAGUUGUAAUAGCUAGUGUGGACAUGUAAAUGUAAAGAGAUAGGAUUUAUGUACAGUGUAUAGCAUGGUGCUUGCUUAUAAGAGUUGUCAUCCCUUUUUGUAUAUACAUGAUUCUCUUUAUAUCAAUGUGUAAUAUUGUAUGUAUAGAAACACCAGGCUUAACAUAGCUGAGUUUAGCCGCCUUGAGCAAAGAUGAGAGCUCUGACAGGCGUUUUAUAGUACAGUGAUAGUAUGUGCACAGGUUGAGCCUUGGUACAGGGAAAAGUUUUAAGUUUUACUGAAAAUGUUUGAUCAUGUAUGGGAUUUCACAGGUACACAGACAGGAUAGCAGGCUUACUACGGGUCCUGGCGACCUUAAGUCGAUCUGGAUCCUAGUGCCGGUAGCAGUUCGAUUUCCGGGCUGUUACAGAUUGGUAUCAGAGCCCUAGGUUCACAUGGUCGGACCUAUAGAGAUAGAGAUAGAGUUGGGCUCAUAGAGGUUUAGUUCAAGCACCAUAGGAAAACAUGUCCACUAGGAUAGGAUGUCAGUCCUGUCUUUAUGAUGAUGUGAAAUGCCAUGAGUUAUACAUGUGCAUUAUUGUAUAUGUGAUAUGUUAUUGAUGUGCUCUGUUAUGUGUUGGUUUCCAGAGAGUUAAGAUGCGAGGAACUCGUCGAUCCGCAAGAUUGACUGGAGUCCCACCUGAAAGUGAGGGUGCAGCUGCUCGUCCACCUGCCUUGCCAAGGGCAAGAUCUCAUAGGUCAAGCAGGGAAGGAACGUCACGAGACCCUAGAAGGUCUUCUGACGAGAGCAGAAGAGGAGUAAGCAGAGGGGGAAGGUCAGUAGAAGAAAGAGGUGUGAUGGAGGGUGAUCAGAGUAGAGAUGUAAGUAUGGGUGUCGGAAGGUCAGAAGAAGGUAUGGGGGAGUCCCAGGGAGGCGCUCAGGCCUCAGGGUUUGGCUAUCCACCCUUUCCACAAGGCCCAGGGUAUCCGAUGGGAGGUACGUCGGAUUAUUCCAGCUUUGCCCCAUAUCCACCCUACAUGCCAUAUAUGCCUUAUCCUUCCUUCUCUCCACCAUAUCAUAUGUAUCCACCCCCACCUUUUCCAUCAAGUUCAGCACACCCUGAACCUACAGAACCAGUACCUCCAUCACCACCAUCUGAACCAGCAGCCCCUGUUGUUGAAGCACAACCCAGUUCGUCAGGGGGAAAUAAGGUGAAGAUGACGGAGUACUUAAAGUUGGAUGCUCCUAAAUUCAACACGGGAGAUGAUCCCUUUGAGUAUCUCAGUGCGGUGAGAAUGAUAACAAGUGAGUUCGGAGCAGAUGAUAGCAGAGCCAUUGAGAUGGCAGGGUUCACGUUGAAAUGCAAGAAAGCCAGAGAAUGGUUCAAGAACUAUGUGGACCCCAGAAGAGACAGCAUGACAUAGGAAGAGUUCGCCAACGAAUUUGCUGGGUGGGCUUUUCCUGACAGUUCCAGGGAGCUAAAGGUUGUGGAGUUUGAACAGUUGAGACAGAUGGAGGAGAUGAGCGUUGAUGAGUAUACAGAUAAGUUCCUGGAAUUGUUACCAUACGUAGGUCAGGCGUAUGAUACGAACCAGAAGAAAGCAAAGAGAUAUGCCACGAGGCUUCAUGCCAGGUAUUUCUCCUUGAUUCUCCAUGCGGAAAAAGAGAGUUUCCACUCCAUUGUGGAUGCUGCUAGAAAGAUGGAGGCCAGUGCCAUAAGUCAGGGAAUAGUGGAUGAAGUCAGGUCUGGGAAUGAGUAGCGGCUCCAGCGCUGGCACAGAUAUUCCAGUUUGCAAUAGGUGUGGGAGACAGCACAAAGGAGCUUGUCUGUUGGGAUCUACAGCCUGCUAUAGAUGUGGGCAGGAGGGACAUUUCUCACGAGAAUGUCCUCAGGCGACUUUGGUUUCACCAUCCCAGCAGAUGAGUACAGGCAGUGUCGUCCAGCCUGCAGCUUCAGCCCGACCACCAAGCAGUGGCAGAGGUAGAGGAAGAGGGGCAGCCUCUUCAUCAGGGAUGGGUUCCCGAGGUGCAGGUCCGUCAGCUCCAGCACAGAUUUUCACCAUGACGCAACAGGAGGCAGACACUUCGAACACAGUGGUGUCAGGUAAUCUCCUCAUUGGGUGUUCUGAGGUGUAUGCUUUGAUGGACCCCGGUGCUUCUCACUCUUUCAUUUCUUCUAGAGCCGCAGAGAGAUUGGGGUUGAUUGUAUCCGAGUUAGAGUGUCCUCUCUGGGUCAGUGGACCUAGAUGUGACCCAUCAUUGGCAGAGUCAGUCUGUCAGUUCAGUUUAGUGUUUAUAGAGGAUAGAUGCCUUCCAGCUGACCUUGUGGUUCUAGAGUUGACAGAUUUUGAUGUCAUUCUAGGGAUGGAUUGGUUAUCUAUGUAUAGUGCUACCUUGCACUGCAGGGACAAGGUAGUGAGUCUCAGAGACCAAGAUGGGUCAGAGUGUGUCUUCAGAGGAGACAAGAGAGGGACACCUAGGGGUUUGCUAUCAGCCCUCCAGGCUCGUAGGUUGUUGAGGAAGGGUUGUCAGGGGUUCCUAGCACAUGUGAGAGAGCUAGACAGUCAGGUUAGGGAACCAUCCUCAGUACCAGUUGUUAGAGAAUUCCCAGAUGUGUUUCCUGAAGAGCUUCCAGGACUACCACCGGAUAGGGAAAUAGAGUUCGAGAUCGAAUUGCUGCCUGGUACCAGACCGAUCUCUAUACCUCCCUACAGGAUGGCACCAGCAGAGCUGAGAGAGUUGAAAGAGCAGUUAUAGGAUUUGGUAGACAAGGGUUUCAUCCGCCCGAGUACCUCACCCUGGGGUGCUCCAGUACUGUUUGUCAGAAAGAAGGAUGGAACUCUUCGACUUUGUGUUGACUAUAGGCAGUUGAACAAAGUCACUACCAAGAACAAGUAUCCUUUACCAAGGAUCGAUGAUCUAUUCGACCAACUGGCAGGAGCAGGUUGUUUUUCGAAGAUAGAUCUAAGAUCCGGAUACCACCAGUUGAAGAUCAGGGAAGGAGAUGUGUCCAAGACUGCUUUCAGGACCAGAUAUGGGCAUUAUGAGUUCCUAGUAAUGCCGUUCAGGUUGACUAACGCCCCUGCAGCAUUCAUGGAUCUCAUGAAUAGGGUUUUCAGAGAGUACCUAGAUCGCUUUGUGAUCGUCUUUAUAGAUGAUAUCUUGGUGUACUCCAGGAAUGCAGAGGAGCAUGCCCAGCAUCUGAGGAUAGUUUUGCGGACCUUGAGAGAGCAUGGCUUGUAUGCCAAGUUCUCCAAGUGCGAGUUCUGGCUAAGGAGCAUUUCCUUUUUGGGACAUGUAGUAUCAGAGGAAGGACUAGCAGUAGAUCCCAAAAAGGUAGAGGCAGUAGCCAACUGGCCUACACCCACUACAGUGACAGAGAUCAAGAGUUUUCUGGGUUUGGCAGGCUACUAUCGAAGGUUCGUUCAGGACUUUUCGAAGAGAGCUGCUCUUAUGACCAGACUGACCAGGAAGAAUCAGAAGUUUGUAUGGUCAGAGGAAUGUGAUGAGAGUUUUGACGAGUUGAAGAGACGGUUAACUUCAGCACCGGUGUUAGCUCUGCCGAACAGUGAUGAUGAGUUCACAGUGUUCUGUGAUGCAUCCCGAGUGGGAUUAGGUUGUGUGUUAAUGCAGAAAGACAGAGUGAUAGCUUAUGCUUCUAGACAGCUGAAGAAGCACGAGCUGAACUACCCAACACACGAUCUUGAGAUGGCAGUUGUUAUCUUUGCACUUAAGAUGUGGAGGCAUUACCUCUAUGGGGUAAAGUGUGAGAUCUACACGGAUCAUAAGAGCCUGCAGCACAUCUUGAGUCAGAGAGAGUUAAACUUGAGGCAGAGACGGUGGGUAGAAUUGCUCAGUGAUUACGAUUGCAAGAUCCAGUAUCAUCCGGGUAAGGCUAAUGUUGUAGCUGAUGCCUUAAGCCGGAAGUCACUUGGCAGUUUAUCCCACAUUGCAGUAGAGAGAAGACCGGUGGUGAAGGACUUUUACAGACUCAUGGAAGAAGGGCUACAGUUGCAGUUAUCUGGUACGGGUGCUUUAAUUGCACAGAUGAGAGUUACACCAGUGUUUCUAGAGCAAGUGGCUCUGAAACAGCACGAAGACCCCGAGUUAGUGAAGAUUGCCAGGACUGUUCAGUCUGGCAACAGUGCAGAGUUCAGAUUUGACAGUGAGGGGAUUCUUCGUCAUGGGAAGAGAUUAUGUGUACCAAAUGAUGCCAGUUUGAAGGCAGACAUUAUGAGAGAAGCUCAUAAUGCGAGAUAUAGCGUUCACCUUGGAGCUACCAAGAUGUAUCAAGAUCUGAGAAGAGUGUAUUGGUGGCCAGCGAUGAAGAGAGAAGUGGCACAGUAUGUGUCAGCCUGCGAGACAUGUCAAAGGGUGAAGCUAGAACAUCAGAAGCCUGCUGGAAUGCUUAACCCACUGCCGAUUCCAGAGUGGAAAUGGGAGAACAUAGCUAUGGAUUUUGUAGUGGGGUUACCGGCGACGUCCAACAGGCUAGACUCCAUCUGGGUGAUUGUGGAUAGACUGACUAAAUCUGCUCACUUCAUUCCAGUCAGGAGUAACUACUCUGUGGACAAGUUAGCGCAGGUGUAUGUAGAAGAGAUAGUGAAGCUGCAUGGAGUUCCAGUGUCAAUAGUAUCGGAUAGAGGACCUCAGUUCACCUCCAGAUUUUGGCGGAGUCUGCAGAGUGAGAUGGGCACAAGAUUGGAUUUCAGUACUGCUUUCCAUCCACAGACAGACGGUCAGUCCGAGAGGACCAUCCAGACCAUAGAAGAUAUGUUGAGAAUGUGUGUACUAGACUUUGGCGGUUCUUGGAGGCAGCAUCUACCUCUGGUGGAGUUUGCCUACAAUAACAGCCAUCACGCUAGUAUAGGGAUGGCUCCUUAUGAAGCUCUAUAUGGGAGGAAAUGCAGGACUCCUGUUUGUUGGGAAGAGGUAGGAGAGAGGGCUCUUGCAGGGCCAGAGAUUGUUGAGAUGACCAGCAGGCUAGUGCCUAUCAUCAGAGAAAGAAUCAAGACAGCUGUAAGCAGACAAAAGAGCUAUGCAGACAUCCGUAGGAAGCAGAUAGAGUUCCAGGAGGGGGAUUUGGUAUUGCUAAAGGUGUCUCCAAUGAAGGGAGUGGUUCGCUUUGGAAGAAAAGGUAAAUUAGCUCCACGCUACAUUGGUCCCUUUGAGAUCUUGCAGAAGAUCGGGCCUGUGUCGUAUAAGCUAGAUUUACCUGCAUCGAUGGAAAGAAUUCACCCGGUAUUCCAUGUUUCUAUAUUGAGGAAGUUUGUGUCAGAUCCAAAGAAGGUUCUCAGUGAGCCGGAGAUAGAGAUCCUUGGGGAUCUCACUUAUGUCGAACAGCCAGUGCGGAUCUUAGACACACAGAUUAGGAAGCUGAGGAACAAGGAGAUACCAAUGGUGAAAGUCUUAUGGAACCACCACAACUUAGAAGAGUGCACCUGGGAGACACGGGAGUCGAUGCUUCAGUAAUACCCAUAUCUGUUUUAAGGUUAGUUUUUCCCCUUUUCUAUGUGUUUUAUGAUUGUGUUAGGGACAUUCGGGGACGAAUGUUCUUAAGGGGGGGAGAAUGUAAUACCCGGCUUGAGUCCGGCAUCGGAAUUCCUGUAGAUCAGUGGAAUCUCGAGUGUCGGAACCCUCAAGAAGGGUAAGACAUAUGUUUUCAUGUGGUUUUAAAGAGUUUUGAAUGUUUUAAAGUGUUAAAUGAACGGUGUGUUGAAAGAAAAGCAACAAGAGAGAAAUGCAAAGGUUCGGCCACCGAACAUUGCAUGGUUUCGGGUUCUCCUUCGGCUGCCGAAGGUGGUCUGGCCAGCCACCUAUAAAAGGGCCAAGGGUCGGUGGAAGGAGGAUAUUUCUCCUCCACUUGCAGCCAGAGGUGAGUUCCAGCCUCUCCCAAGUUGACUUUCAUGUUUUUCAUGUUUUUCACCAAAUCUUUCACGGGUUUUAGGAGUUUUGAUGUGUUUUGAAGGUUUUGAGCAAAACUAGCAAGUUUUGAAGUUUGGAGCUUUGGAAGAGGUUUUCUCCCUAUCUCCACGUUAGGAUCACUCAUCCUCAAGUUCUGAAGGAGGUAAGGGUGGAUCCUGAACUUCUUUGAUGAGUUUUGAAGGUUUUAUGGAAAGUUGAUAGGUAGUAUGCAUGAUUAGGUUUAGGUGAGGCUUUUGGGGGAGAUGUUUAUGUUCAAGCUUGUUAAGUGUUGUUUGAUGUGUUUGUUUGAGGUUUUAGGCUAGUUUUGGACCUCUUUAUGCAUGUUUUAUGGUAUGUGCUAGUUGGGAGUAGUUGAUAUGCCUGUUGGGUAAG